AGCUCCAAUAGCGUAUAUUAAAGUUGCUGCAGUUAAAAAGCUCGUAGUUGCAUUUCCGAGGCAAGGGAUUAGUCCGACCUUUGGUGGGUAUUUAAUCCUCUUGCCUCGUCCUUGAGUGGUGCUUCUUGGUAUUAAGUUAUCGAGGAGAUAGCCGCUCAUCGUUUACUGUGAGAAAAUUAGAGUGUUCAAAGCAGGCUUAUGCCGUUGAAUAUAUUAGCAUGGAAUAAUAAGAUAGGACCUCUGUACUAUUUUGUUUGUUUGAGAACCAAGGUAAUGAUGAAUAGGGACAGUUGGGGGUAUUCGUAUUCAGUUGUCAGAGGUGAAAUUCUUAGAUUUACGGAAGACGAACUACUGCGAAAGCAUUUACCAAGGAUGUUUUCA
rnacentral:rRNA from 1 species